GAUGAACGCUGGCGGCGUGCCUAAUACAUGCAAGUCGAGCGAACAGACGAGGAGCUUGCUCCUCUGACGUUAGCGGCUGACGGGUGAGUAACACGUGGAUAACCUACCUAUAAUACUGGGAUAACUUCGUGAAACCGGAUCUAAUACCAGAUAAUAUAUUGAACCGCAUGGUUCAAUAGUUAAAGACGGUUUUGCUGUCACUUAUAGAUGGAUCCGCGCCGCAUUAGCUAGUUGGUAAGGUAACGGCUUACCAAGGCAACGAUGCGUAGCCGACCUGAGAGGGUGAUCGGCCACACUGGAACUGAGACACGGUCCAGACUCCUACGGGAGGCAGCAGUAGGGAAUAUUCCGCAAUGGGCGAAAGCCUGAUGGAGCAACGCCGCGUGAGUGAUGAAGGUCUUCGGAUCGUAAAACUCUGUUAUUAGGGAAGAACAAAUGUGUAAGUAAAUAUGGACGUCUUGACGGUACCUAAUCAGAAAGCCACGGCUAACUACGUG
rnacentral:rRNA from 1 species